rnacentral:lncRNA from 1 species
GACACCAGUUGGCACGUCCCGGCAUGAGGCACCUGAUCGCAAAUGGCACAUCGAGCCCGGCGACAACAACUGUACCUGUACUGACGCAAGCCGUGCCACCGCCAGCUUUGUCUUGUCGCCGAUCUGUGCCCGUGCUGUCCUUCCAAUCCACUCCGCCCCACGCUUGGGGGCCUCCCUCCUGCACGGCCGCACGGUCGAUGACGGCCAACCAUUGCUGCAUCGGUGCAUCCACAUGUAGUCGUGUAAAUGCAGGAUUUUUUUAAUCAGUAGUAGUAAGGCCUUGUUUAGUUAAAAAAAAAAUUCCACAUCCCCA